ACUGGGAUUCACACCAGGAACUCUGCUACCUCCAGGAUAUGCUGAUGGAGGUCCCUGGCCAUAGUUUCCAGGUGGUGAUGGUUGGCCAUAAGAUCCAGGUGGUGAUGGCUGGCCAUAAGAUCCAGGUGGUGAUGGCUGGCCAUAAGAUCCAGGUGGUGAUGGCUGGCCAUAAGAUCCAGGUGUUGAUGGUUGGCCAUAAGAUCCAGGUGGUGAAGUGCCACCAGGCCUGAAACCUCCUCCCUGCCCUUGCGAGAAGUUCCUGCGCUCUUGGGGGUUGCUGUAACCUUGACCUUGACCAGCUG
rnacentral:lncRNA from 1 species